rnacentral:rRNA from 1 species
AUGUCGACCGCAGGUAUGAAGAAAGUGACAUGCCCUAUCUUUGACGGUCAUGAUUAUUCCAAGUGGAAGGCCAUGAUGAGGAAGCGCCUCAUGGCAAGGGACAGCAAGCUGUGGACCGUCACUGAGAUUGGUCUUACAGAUCUAUGCAAGUUGGCGAAUGCAGAUGAUAUUCGCAAAUACACUCGACUUGACUGCAUGGCGAAGGAUAUCAUCUGUUCCUGCCUAUCCAGAGAUCAAUUCAGGCACAUUAUGCAUCUUUGCAAUGCAAAGCUUAUCUGGGACCGAAUCUCUGACGUUUAUGAAGGUCAUCGAACCCGUCAUGAUCCCUGGUUUGAGGACUUCAAGGAAUCUCUCAAAACAAUGACUUUCGAGCCAGAAUCAUCAUCGUCUGCAUCAUGUCUCAUGGCAAAGGGUGACGAGGUAACCGAAUGUUCCUCAUCUGAAUUUAGUGACUGUGAAUCUGAUGAUAAUGAAUCUGAUGAUGAUAUUGAACCUAGCUAUACCAAACUUGUUUGCAUUGCCACCAAACAACAACAUGCCUUGGAAAAGGUUCAAAACAUGCUAGACAAAAGUGAUGAUAUGUUGGGUGAAGAAAUGGAUCGCACUAAAGCCCUGACUGAAAAUCUUCAGAGACUUCAGUCUAGGUUUGAUAACCUUCAAAUUCAUCAUAACACUCUCUUAUCUGAUCAUGAGAAACUUUCUUAUGAAUUUCUUCAAAGAAACCAAGAUCUUGAGAAGCUAAGAGUGAGUUAUGAAGAUCUUCAGAAGGAGCGUGAUUCAUUACUUGCUCAACAAAUCAGCACUUCUCAGGAAGAAUUUAUUCCUCCAUGCUUAAAGUGCAUUGAACGUGAAUCUGCUAAUUCUUCACCUGAAUGUUCAAAUGCUUCAACUGUUACAAAUUCUUCAUCUGCCUCUGCUAUCACUAAUUCCUCAUCUGAGGACAUUGCUAGUAUCACUGACAAUGCAGGGCUGAAGGAACUGUACACGACAGGCAUGUACAAAAGCCUCAAAGGGAAUCAGAUUCUCUAUGAUGUGCUCAAAAAGCAGAUCCUCAACAGAAACCCUAGGAAAGAGGGUAUUACCUUUGAGAGGAAACUUAAUGCUGAUGGAACAUAUUGGAAGCCUGAGCAGUACCCCAAAACCUCAUGGGUUGCUGCAAAGGGACCUCCAGUUGAUCCAUCCAAUUUAUCUGGCUUUACAUGUGAAUCUCCUCAUUCUUCUGAUAAGUCAUUUGACUCCAACUAUAAACUGUUCAAAAAUCAGAAUGGUGAAGUAUUUGCUAGAUAUGUUGGGACUAACUGCAGGAACGGUUCCCCUAUGAAGAAAAUCUGGGUUCCCAAAAGUUAUGUUGAAAGUCUUCAGGUGAAUGUCCUCAUGACACCACCUGUGAAGAAUAGGAACCCCAGAACAAACUCUUCAUAUGGACCUAAUUCUUCAUAUGGAUCAAAUUCCUCAAAUGGAUCAAAGUCCUCACAUGAUUAUCAUCGUGCUAACAACUCUGUUUCGCAGGGUAUAGCUAAGGACUAUGAAUAUGCGCAUUAUUCUUCAAAUCAUUAUGUUCAUAAGUCCUCGAAGAAUUUCUCUGCUUAUUCAUAUGCUUACCCUAACCCCUCUUAUAUGAAAUGA